UUGGAGUCGUUUUCGGCUUUCGACUGUUUGCUUGGCCUUCGAGCCACGCAGGCGGCUGAUUGCUGUGGCGGUUUCGGGGAUGUUUAUCGUAAAGGUGCAUGAGUGGUGUUUGGAUUGAUACGGGUGGUCGGCUCCCUGCUUGAGCAGGCACGGCCAUGCGUACAUUCCUCUUCAGUUAUUCGACAAGGCUUGUAUUGCCUUGACCAUAUAUGUGGGUUUCCUGUGUUGCAUACCUGAUCAAUGGCAUCGUCUUGAUCAAAACAGUCCCUUUUUCGUCAAGCGCCGCUCUYGUGACGUCGGACGAACCAAGUAGCACCCUUUUUGAUCCAUCUCGUUGAUGAGCAUUUGUUGAUGGUUUGGCCCAUUGAGGGAUGCUUGGUCUCUUGGAUAUGGAAGCCAAAGUGGGCAUGGGUUCGUAUGAUCCUUUUACUGCCCUCGUUGAGCGUUCUCGCUUCUUUAAAACGACUGCCUCUCACGUAUGGCACGUCCCAGCGUGUUUGGCUAUGUCGAAGAGGAAUGCUACC
rnacentral:misc_RNA from 1 species